UACCCUGAGCGGCGGAUCACUCGGCUCGUAGGUCGAUGAAAGACGCA
rnacentral:rRNA from 3 species